CCUACGGGUGGCAGCAGUGAGGAAUAUUGGUCAAUGGGCGCGAGCCUGAACCAGCCAAGUCGCGUGAGGGAAGACGGUCCUAUGGAUUGUAAACCUCUUUUGUCGGGGAGCAAAAGACGCCACGCCUGGCGUUCCGAGAGUACCCGAAGAAAAAGCAUCGGCUAACUCCGUGCCAGCAGCCGCGGUAAUACGGUGGAUGCGAGCGUUAUCCGGAUUUAGUGGGGUUAAAGGGUGGGCAGGCGGAAGUUCAUGUCAGCGGGAAAGUUGAGAGGUUCAACCUCGUCGAGCCGUUGAAACUGGUUUUCUUGAGUGAGUGAGAGGUAUGCGGAAUGCGUGGUGUAGCGGUGAAAUGCAUAGAUAUCACGCAGAACUCCGAUUGCGAAGGCAGCAUACCGGCGCUCAACUGACGCUCAUGCACGAAAGUGUGGGUAUCGAACAGGAUUAGAUACCCUUGUAGUC
rnacentral:rRNA from 1 species